CCUACGGGAGGCAGCAGUAAGGAAUAUUGGUCAAUGGACGCAAGUCUGAACCAGCCAUGCCGCGUGAAGGAUGAAGGCCCUCUGGGUUGUAAACUUCUUUUACAGGGGACGAAAAAAAGGGAAUUCUUUCUCACUUGACGGUACCCUGGGAAUAAGCACCGGCUAACUCCGUGCCAGCAGCCGCGGUAAUACGGAGGGUGCAAGCGUUAUCCGGAUUCACUGGGUUUAAAGGGUGCGUAGGUGGGCAUUUAAGUCAGUGGUGAAAUCUCCGGGCUUAACCCGGAAACUGCCAUUGAUACUAUUUGUCUUGAAUAUUGUGGAGGUAAGCGGAAUAUGUCAUGUAGCGGUGAAAUGCUUAGAUAUGACAUAGAACACCCAUUGCGAAGGCAGCUUACUACGCAAAUAUUGACACUGAGGCACGAAAGCGUGGGGAUCAAACAGGAUUAGAUACCCUGGUAGUCCACGCCCUAAACGAUGGAUACUCGACAUCAGCGAUACACAGUUGGUGUCUGAGCGAAAGCAUUAAGUAUCCCACCUGGGAAGUACGACCGCAAGGUUGAAAACUCAAAGGAAUUAGACGG
rnacentral:rRNA from 1 species